UGGGGAAUAUUGGACAAUGGGCGAAAGCCUGAUCCAGCCAUGCCGCGUGUGUGAAGAAGGUCUUCGGAUUGUAAAGCACUUUAAGUUGGGAGGAAGGGCAGUAAGCGAAUACCUUGCUGUUUUGACGUUACCGACAGAAUAAGCACCGGCUAACUCUGUGCCAGCAGCCGCGGUAAUACAGAGGGUGCAAGCGUUAAUCGGAAUUACUGGGCGUAAAGCGCGCGUAGGUGGUUCGUUAAGUUGAAUGUGAAAGCCCCGGGAUCAACCUGGGAACUGCAUCCAAAACUGGCGAGCUAGAGUAGGGCAGAGGGUGGUGGAAUUUCCUGUGUAGCGGUGAAAUGCGUAGAUAUAGGAAGGAACACCAGUGGCGAAGGCGACCACCUGUGCUCAUACUGACACUGAGGUGCGAAAGCGUGGGGAGCAAACAGG
rnacentral:rRNA from 1 species